CGGCGGACGGGUGAGUAACGCGUGGGUAACCUGCCUCAUACAGGGGGAUAACAGUUAGAAAUGACUGCUAAUACCGCAUAAGACCACGGUACCGCAUGGUACAGUGGUAAAAACUCCGGUGGUAUGAGAUGGACCCGCGUCUGAUUAGGUAGUUGGUGGGGUAACGGCCUACCAAGCCGACGAUCAGUAGCCGACCUGAGAGGGUGACCGGCCACAUUGGGACUGAGACACGGCCCAA
rnacentral:rRNA from 1 species